rnacentral:lncRNA from 1 species
CUAUGGGCAACGGCCGUGUUUUCUUUUUGAUGUCCUUUGCAGUGGAUCACAGCUACCUGCUGAGAAACUCCUAGAGGGCAGAGGCAUGCCUGCCAUCUUCAUCAUUGCAUUACCAUCACCCAACACUAUCAGGGGACCUGCCCUGAUAAUCAGUCUACAGUUGUAUCCAGCAGCUCCAGAGAGACAGCGACCAGCAAGAAGGGGCCAUGAUGAUGGUGGUGGUUUUUUCAAAACGAAAAGGGGGAUAUGUAGGGAAAAGAAAGAGAGAUCAGACUCUUACAGACUCUUACUGUGUCUACAUAGAAAGGGAAGACAUAAGAGACUCCAUUUGGAAAAAGACCUGUACUUUAAACAAUUGCUUUGCUGAGAUGUUGUUAAUCUGUAGCUUUGCCCCAGCCACUUUGCCCCAACCACUUUGACCCAGUCUGGAGCUCACAAAAACAUGUGUUGUAUGAAAUCAAGGUUUAAGGCAUGUAGGGCUGUGCAGGAUGUGCCUUGUUAACCAAAUGUUUGCAAGCAGUAUACUUGGUAAAAGUCAUCACCAUUCUCUUGUCUCAAUAAACCAGGGGCACAAUGCACUGUGGAAAGCCGCAGGGACCUCUGCCCUUGAAAGCUGGGUAUUAUUCAAAGUUUCCCCCCAUGUGAUAGUCUGAAAUAUGGCCUCGUGGGAUGAGAAAGGCCUGACGGUCCCCUAGCCCGACACCCAUAAAAGGUCUGUGCUGAGGUGGAUUAGUCAAAGAGGAAAGACUCUUGCAUUUGAGAUAGAGGAAGGCCACUGUCUCCUGCCUGCCCCUGGGAACUGAAUGUCUCGGUAUAAAACACGAUUGUACAUUUGUUCAAUUCUGAGAUGGGAGAAAAACCGCCCUAUGGUGGGAGGUGAGACAUGUUUACAGCAAUACUGCCUUGAUAUUCUUUACUCCACUGAGAUGUUUGGGUGGAGAGAAACAUAAAUCUGGCUUACAUGCACGUUCAGUCAUAGUACCUUCCCUUGAACUUCAUUAUGACAUAGAUUCUAUUGCUCACAUGUUUGUUGCUGACCUUCUUAUUAUCACCCUGCCCUCCUACUACAUUCCUUUUUGCUGAAAUAAUAAAGAUAGUAUUCAAUAAAAACUGAGGGAACUCAGAGACCGGUGCCAGUGCAGGUCCUUGGUAUGCUAAGCGCCGGUACCCUGGG